rnacentral:tRNA from 1 species
GUAUAUAUAGUUUAAACAAAAUAUUAGGUCGUGACCCUAGUUAUGAAAGUUCAACCCUUUCUAUAAACC